GACAGCAGUAGCCGCGGUAAUACAGAGGAUGCAAGCGUUAUCCGGAAUGAUUGGGCAUAAAGUGUCUGUAGGUGGCUUUUCAAGUCCGCCGUCAAAUCCCAGGGCUCAACCGUGGACAGGCGGUGGAAACUACCAAGCUGGAGUAUGGUAGGGGCAGAGGGAAUUUCCGGUGGAGCGGUGAAAUGCGUUGAGAUCGGAAAGAACACCAACAGCGAAAUCACUCUGCUAGGCCGACACUGACACUGAGAGACGAAAUCUAGGGGAGCAAAUGGGAUUAGAUACCCGCGUAGUCCCUGUCUCUUAUAC
rnacentral:rRNA from 1 species